UGGAUGAGCCCGCGGCCUAUCAGCUUGUUGGUGGGGUAAUGGCCUACCAAGGCGUCGACGGGUAGCCGGCCUGAGAGGGUGUACGGCCACAUUGGGACUGAGACACGGCCCAGACUCCUACGGGAGGCAGCAGUGGGGAAUAUUGCACAAUGGGCGCAAGCCUGAUGCAGCGACGCCGCGUGGGGGAUGAAGGCCCUCGGGUUGUAAACUCCUUUCGCUAGGGACGAAGCCUUAUGGUGACGGUACCUGGAGAAGAAGCACCGGCUAACUACGUGCCAGCAGCGCGG
rnacentral:rRNA from 1 species